rnacentral:rRNA from 1 species
UACGUAGGGUGCAAGCGUUAAUCGGAAUUACUGGGCGUAAAGCGUGCGCAGGCGGUUUUGUAAGCCAGAUGUGAAAUCCCCGGGCUCAACCUGGGAAUGGCAUUUGGGACUGCAAGGCUGGAGUGCGGCAGAGGAGACUGGAAUUCCUGGUGUAGCAGUGAAAUGCGUAGAUAUCAGGAGGAAUACCGAUGGCGAAGGCAGGUCUCUGGGCUGACACUGACGCUCAUGUACGAAAGCGUGGGGAGCAAACAGG